AGAAGCCAUCAAGUAUCAAAAAAGAACAUACGGUAAAAGGUUGGGCAGAAUAGAUGGUAAAAAGAGUUAGUUCUCUUCCAAAAGCCACAUGCACUCUCUCUCUAGCACGCUGCUAUGAUAUGUCACAAUACGUCCAACAAUCCAUUCAAGAGCACAGCAGAGGCAGCAGUGGGUACGGCUUUGGAAGAUCUAGUCUGCCCUUCCACCAUCAACUGCAGGAUCUUGAGCAAGUCAUUUAACCCCUCUGAGCCUCGGUCUCCUCAAAUGUGAAUCGAAGAGAAUACUCUCUCCCCAGCAGACCUCAAAACACUUUGAUCUUGAAGUUCCCGUUCAAGUCAGCAGAAAAGUCAUGUAAGAGCAGAUCAGCCCUGUCUUAGUGGCGCCUCCAUCACUUCAGGUCUACACUUACUUAGUGAGGCUGAGAAAGAAGUGGGAGAACGACUGCUAUAUCUCUGAUCCAAAAACAACAAAAUAGGUGCCAGCCCUCUAGCUGACAGGUCAAUAGACAGUCUUCCCUGAAUGGGAAGCACAAUGAGCACACUUCAUAAUUCUAGGGUUUGAGACGAUGACUAACACCUUGUGUUACAGCCAUACUUGCCACUGACGAGAGGUCAAUUACACUGACGAUGUGAAUUCUUUACAAAGUCAAGCUCAUUCUAUCCUAGUAACAAGGAUUCUUCCAGAGUUGACACUAGUCAAAUAGUCACAAAAAUGUUUCCCUGGAGACUGUGGUGAAUGCUGCGGAGAAGAAGUUCAGGGACCACGAAAGAAACCAACGGUGGUGGGCAGACGGAGCCCACCUGUAAGGAGGAGAAGCGACCCCGAGAAAGCCCAUUCUAUCUGAAGGAGGUGCAGGAGCUCAGAGAAAGGGAUGGAGAGCAGGGGAGAAGAGCCAGCCACGCAAAGGGAACAGCAUGUGCAAAGUUCUCUUACACCAGCCUGUAUUUCACGUCCCCGGCCUCAAUUUCCUCAUUGUAACGUAAAGGGGAAAAUCAAAGGAUUUUACUGUCUGACAG
rnacentral:lncRNA from 1 species